GAGGCCGGCCCCCAGGGGCCUCUCACGCAGCGCAGGCGCUUUAAGGCUGAGAGGUGAGCAGAUCUCGCAGGGAGAUCCCGAAGAAGAGGCAGAGAGCCGCCCGCGCCAGCUGUCACUGUUCCAGUGCGUGGCCAUGUUUCCCUUCAGAUAAUAAAUGUCAUCAAGUUUGGUCACACGGGUAUUAAAUCACAUUCAAGCACCUGUUUACCUGCAGAGCAGUUUAAUAUUCAUAGCAAAACUGAGGAGAAAGUACCCACAUACCCUCUGCCCCUCACACACAGCCUCCUCUACUAUUGACACCUGCUCCACAGGGGUUUUGGUGUAGAUGAGUUUUCAACUCCUCCCUGUCAAUACCAAGGAGAGAUUGCUGGAUUAUAAGAAAAGUAUGUCACAGGUAAAGGCCUGGAUUAAUCCUAGUCUGUUGGGGAGAUGGAGGAAACCGCUCAAAGCCCCACAUCUAAAACUGUGCAGUUUAGAAGGCCAAGAACAAAAGUGGGAAGAAAGUCAAUCCAGAACUUCAACCCAGGAUCUCUCUCUCUGCGGUGGCUGCAAUAACCUCCUAAUCAAUCACCCUGCGUCCACUCUCAUUUCCCUGGUCUGUUCACAGAGCCGUCAAAGUGAUGCCCUCAAAUGUGAGCCUGGCUGUGCCACCCCUACUCAUCGUCCAGUGAUCCAUCUGACUAUAAUAACUCCAGUUCUUCCCUGUGCCUCAAAGUCCUGCGUGGUCUGGCCCCAAGGCCUCUUGUGGCCUCAUUCUCACCUUCCUCCCCUCACUCACUGCAUUGUAGCCAUGCUGGGCUCUGCACUCUUCCUCAAACACCCUGGAUACUACCCUUGCCCUGAAACGUUGCCCUUGGAAAGUUCUCCUCACCCACAGCACAUGCCU
rnacentral:lncRNA from 1 species